rnacentral:rRNA from 1 species
GCUUGGACGGUCUAUGCGUAUUUGUAGCCUGCGGAGGAUCAUUA